rnacentral:rRNA from 1 species
CACGUAGGGUGCAGGCGUUAAUCGGAAUUACUGGGCGUAAAGCGUGCGCAGGCGGUUUCUUAAGUCAGAUGUGAAAGCCCCGGGCUUAACCUGGGAACUGCGUUUGAAACUGGGAGACUUGAGUGUGGCAGAGGGGGGUGGAAUUCCACGUGUAGCAGUGAAAUGCGUAGAUAUGUGGAGGAACACCGAUGGCGAAGGCAGCCCCCUGGGUUAACACUGACGCUCAUGCACGAAAGCGUGGGGAGCAAACAGG